AGAGUUUGAUCCUGGCUCAGGACGAACGCUGGCGGCGUGCCUAAUACAUGCAAGUAGAACGCUGAAGAGAGGAGCUUGCUCUUCUUGGAUGAGUUGCGAACGGGUGAGUAACGCGUAGGUAACCUGCCUUGUAGCGGGGGAUAACUAUUGGAAACGAUAGCUAAUACCGCAUAACAAUGGAUGACACAUGUCAUUUAUUUGAGAGGGGCAAUUGUUCCACUACAAGAUGGACCUGCGUUGUAUUAGCUAGUAGGUGAGGUAAUGGCUCACCUAGGCGACGAUACAUAGCCGACCUGAGAGGGUGAUCGGCCACACUGGGACUGAGACACGGCCCAGACUCCUACGGGAGGCAGCAGUAGGGAAUCUUCGGCAAUGGGGGCAACCCUGACCGAGCAACGCCGCGUGAGUGAAGAAGGUUUUCGGAUCGUAAAGCUCUGUUGUAAGUCAAGAACGGGUGUGAGAGUGGAAAGUUCACACUGUGACGGUAGCUUACCAGAAAGGGACGGCUAACUACGUGCCAGCAGCCGCGGUAAUACGUAGGUCCCGAGCGUUGUCCGGAUUUAUUGGGCGUAAAGCGAGCGCAGGCGGUUUGAUAAGUCUGAAGUUAAAGGCUGUGGCUCAACCAUAGUUCGCUUUGGAAACUGUCAAACUUGAGUGCAGAAGGGGAGAGUGGAAUUCCAUGUGUAGCGGUGAAAUGCGUAGAUAUAUGGAGGAACACCGGUGGCGAAAGCGGCUCUCUGGUCUGUAACUGACGCUGAGGCUCGAAAGCGUGGGGAGCGAACAGGAUUAGAUACCCUGGUAGUCCACGCCGUAAACGAUGAGUGCUAGGUGUUGGAUCCUUUCCGGGAUUCAGUGCCGCAGCUAACGCAUUAAGCACUCCGCCUGGGGAGUACGACCGCAAGGUUGAAACUCAAAGGAAUUGACGGGGGCCCGCACAAGCGGUGGAGCAUGUGGUUUAAUUCGAAGCAACGCGAAGAACCUUACCAGGUCUUGACAUCCCGAUGCUAUUUCUAGAGAUAGAAAGUUACUUCGGUACAUCGGUGACAGGUGGUGCAUGGUUGUCGUCAGCUCGUGUCGUGAGAUGUUGGGUUAAGUCCCGCAACGAGCGCAACCCCUAUUGUUAGUUGCCAUCAUUCAGUUGGGCACUCUAGCGAGACUGCCGGUAAUAAACCGGAGGAAGGUGGGGAUGACGUCAAAUCAUCAUGCCCCUUAUGACCUGGGCUACACACGUGCUACAAUGGUUGGUACAACGAGUUGCGAGUCGGUGACGGCGAGCUAAUCUCUUAAAGCCAAUCUCAGUUCGGAUUGUAGGCUGCAACUCGCCUACAUGAAGUCGGAAUCGCUAGUAAUCGCGGAUCAGCACGCCGCGGUGAAUACGUUCCCGGGCCUUGUACACACCGCCCGUCACACCACGAGAGUUUGUAACACCCGAAGUCGGUGAGGUAACCUUUUGGAGCCAGCCGCCUAAGGUGGGACAGACGAUUGGGGUGAAGUCGUAACAAGGUA
rnacentral:rRNA from 1 species